rnacentral:rRNA from 1 species
AGACCUCUGGUGCACCAGUUGUCGUGCCAACGGCACAGCUGGGUAGCUACGUCUGGACGAGAUAAACGCUGAAGGCAUCUAAGCGUGAAACUCCCCCUAAGAUAAGAUCUCCCAUCCGAAAGGAGUAAGGGACGACGUGGACUAUGUCGUUGAUAGGCCGGAGGUGUAAGCACGGUAACGUGUUCAGCUGACCGGUACUAAUAACCCGAGGGCUUGACCUA